rnacentral:rRNA from 1 species
CACCCGCACGGGACACCGGACCCGGGGUCCGGCGGACAGGGUUCUGAGCGGGCGCACGGGGCGUGGGACCCGAAAGGUGGUGAACUAUACCGUUCUAUGACGAGGCCGUGGGAAACCGCGGUGGAGGUCAGUCGCUGUUCUGACGUGCAAAUUGUGUAGCCUGAGUGUGGCAUAGGGGUGAAAGGCCAAUCGAGCCCCCUAGUAGCUGGUUUCCCCCGAAGUUUCCCUCAGGAUAGCCGGGUUCGGAGGACGCGGUCUCCCCGCGCUCCCCCGUCCCCGGCCCCACCCGGUCCAACACCCACAGGGGGCCCGCCCGCACCCCGCCCUCUCUGCCCGCACGCGGGAGAGUGGUUACGUCCGGUAAAGCAACGCAUGAGAGGCUCACAACUGCGCGGGGGAGGCCUCCCUCCUCCACCUAUUCUCGAACUGUGAAUGGGCGUGGCGAACGAACCCACCCCGGACCCCCGCCCCCCCGGACCGCCCNNNNNNNNNGGCGAAGAGGACGGGGCGGACCGCGGUGCUCCGUGGGGGUCGGGACAGCGUCCACGACCACCCCACGACGCUUCCUCACCCGGCGCCGGAGCCCGUCCCCCUCCCCCCGCUGAGGGCACGGUCCUCCCCGGCCACACCGAGCGUGUUAUUGUGAUCCGAAUGGUCCCGUCUGUCCGGCCCCGCCACGGGGGGGGGGAGGGGCGUGUGCGCGUUCGUCCCGGUGCCACACCGUCGACCGCACCGCCCCCGACCCCCCACCCGCGGCUCGAAGCGAAACGAUGAUGCGAACAGUCAUGUGCCCAUGUGGGCCACCAUUGGUAAGCAGUGCUGGCGACGCGGGGUGCUCCGAGAGCGGACUUACAGAACCAGAGUGCUGGCUCAUACACAGAUCCCACAAAGGAUGUCGCUCGCUAGGGAUAGCGGGACGGUGGCCAUGAAGGUUGGAACCCGCUCAGGACCGUGUAACAACCCACCCGCCGAAGCGUGCGGCUCCGAAAAUGGAUGGUGCCCAAGUCAGUGAAGCCGACUUCGCCUCACAGUCCGCCGCCGCCGCGG